CCUACGGGUGGCAGCAGUGGGGAAUAUUGCACAAUGGGGGAAACCCUGAUGCAGCGAUGCCGCGUGAAGGAAGAAGUAUUUCGGAUUGUAAAGCUCUAUCAGCAGGGACGAUAAUGACUGUACCUGACUAAUAAGCUCCGGCUAACUACGUGCCAGCAGCCGCGGUAAUACGUAGGGGGCCAGCGUUAUCCGGAUUUACUGGGUGUAAAGGGAGCGUAGACGGUAGGGCAAGUCUGAAGUGAAAGCUCGCGGCUCAACUGUGAGACUGCAUUUGAAACUGUUGAACUUGAGUGAAGUAGAGGUAAGCGGAAUUACUAGUGUAGCGGUGAAAUGCGUAGAUAUUAGGAGGAACACCAGUGGCGAAGGCGGCUUACUGGACAUUAACUGACGUUGAGGCUCGAAAGCGUGGGGAGCAAACAGGAUUAGAUACCCUAGUAGUC
rnacentral:rRNA from 1 species